UUAAGCAUAUCAAUAAGCGGAGGAAAAGAAACUAACAAGGAUUCCCCUAGUAACUGCGAGUGAAGCGGGAAGAGCUCAAAUUUGAAAUCUGGCGGUUCUGCCGUCCGAGUUGUAAUCUGGAGAAGCGUUUUCCGUGCCGGACCGUGUACAAGUCCCUUGGAACAGGGCGUCAUAGAGGGUGAGAAUCCCGUCUUUGACACGGACUCCCGGUGCUCUGCGAUGCGCUCUCGAAGAGUCGAGUUGUUUGGGAAUGCAGCUCAAAAUGGGUGGUAAAUUCCAUCUAAAGCUAAAUAUUGGCGAGAGACCGAUAGCGAACAAGUACCGUGAGGGAAAGAUGAAAAGCACUUUGGAAAGAGAGUAAAACAGUACGUGAAAUUGUUGAAAGGGAAACGCUUGGAGUCAGUCGCGUCUUCCGGAACUCAGCCUUGCUUCUGCUAGGUGCACUUUCCGGUUCGACGGGUCAGCAUCGGCUUUGGGAGGCGGACAAAGGCGCGGGGAAGGUGGCAGCUCCGGCUGUGUUAUAGCCCCGCGUUGUACGCGUCUCCCGGGACCGAGGAAUCCGGCGCUCGUCGCCUGGGAUGCUGGCGUAAUGGCUUUAAGCGACCCGUCUUGAAACACGGACCAAGGAGUGCUACAUGCUCGCGAGUGUUUGGGUGGAAAACCCGAGCGCGCAAUGAAAGUGAAAGUCGAGACCCUUUGCGGGGGCACCGACGCCCGAGCCUGAAGUUUACGGACGGCCUUGCGGUAGAGCGAGUAUGUUGCGACCCGAAAGAUGGUGAACUAUUCCUGAGGAGGGCGAAGCCAGAGGAAACUCUGGUGGAGGCUCGUAGCGGUUCUGACGUGCAAAUCGAUCGCAGGACUUGGGUAUAGGGGCGAAAGACUAAUCGAACCAUCUAGUAGCUG
rnacentral:rRNA from 1 species